UGAUGAGUGAGUCAGUGUUUGGAUGCAAAGGUCUCUGUGUUUCACAGCAGGAGCCAGUCUAAUAAGAGCCUGUGCCUUUAAGACUUGCCUGUGAAUUACUAGUUAUUUUCUGGAUCCGGGGUAGAGGGUGUUUUACAUGGACAACAGGAAAAAAAAGAACCGAAGGCUAGAUGUGAAGGCUGUGGGAGAAGGAGAAAUAUUAAUUCAUAAAAGAAAGUGGGAGAAAGACCGGCCCUAGAGCUUAGAAGGAGAGAGGAGGGAAAGAUCUGGGAAAGAUCGUGCUCACACAGGCUGGGAAAGGGCUAAUCCUUGCAGGAGAUCAGCUGCCACCCAAGCAGCACCAUUCAGCCAUCAGAAGGAAUCCCCAGAAGGACCAGAACAUGCCAGAAUGUCCUAGAGGCAAACGACUGCAAAUCAACCAAUGAUAAUAGAAAAAAAGAAAACCAAAACUUUGGAAAAAAUCUAUAACCAAAUAUAAAUACUAAUAAAUAAUGUAUUGCAUCAGCAUUGUUAUAGAUCAUUGUAUUUAUUUUUUCUGUUUUCAUAUUUUUGAGCCACAGAUUUAAGAUUACCAUUAAAGUACAUCACACUUG